UAGGGAAUCUUCGGCAAUGGACGGAAGUCUGACCGAGCAACGCCGCGUGAGUGAAGAAGGUUUUCGGAUCGUAAAGCUCUGUUGUUAGAGAAGAACGUUGGUAGGAGUGGAAAAUCUACCAAGUGACGGUAACUAACCAGAAAGGGACGGCUAACUACGUGCCAGCAGCCGCGGUAAUACGUAGGUCCCGAGCGUUGUCCGGAUUUAUUGGGCGUAAAGCGAGCGCAGGCGGUUCUUUAAGUCUGAAGUUAAAGGCAGUGGCUUAACCAUUGUACGCAUUGGGAACUGGAAGACGUGAGUACAGAAGGGGGGAGUGGAAUUCCAUGGGGAACGGUGAAAUGCGUAGAUAUAUGGAGGAACACCGGUGGCGAAAGCGGCUCUCUGGUCUGGAACUGACGCUGAGGCUCGAAAGCGUGGGGAGCAAACAGG
rnacentral:rRNA from 1 species